UUGAAAGGACAUGCCAUUAUUACAUAUGAAGCUGAUAAAAAUCUGAGUGGCAUGGGGCGUUCGUAAUUGCUUGCUCAUUUCGUCCUUCGAGCCCGCUUCAGGAUUGGCUCGGUUUGCCUCCGGGCAGAUUCCUCCUCCUGCGACUGGUUUUAGGUUGAGCCUAUUGGCCCUUGAGUUUGUCUGGGAUGGAUUGAGUUGUUAUGUGGGCCUGCCCAGAAGAAAAAACAUUCAACCUAUCUCAAGAAA